GUCCUCGUGGCUCAAUUGGAUAGAGCACUUCCCUGCGGAGGAAGAGGUUAGCAGUUCAAGCCUGCUCGAGGACG
rnacentral:tRNA from 2 species